GAACGCUGGCGGCAUGCCUAACACAUGCAAGUCGAACGAAGGCUUCGGCCUUAGUGGCGCACGGGUGCGUAACGCGUGGGAAUCUGCCCCUCGGUUCGGAAUAACAGCGAGAAAUUGCUGCUAAUACCGGAUGAUGACGUAAGUCCAAAGAUUUAUCGCCGAGGGAUGAGCCCGCGUAGGAUUAGCUAGUUGGUGUGGUAAAAGCGCACCAAGGCGACGAUCCUUAGCUGGUCUGAGAGGAUGAUCAGCCACACUGGGACUGAGACACGGCCCAGACUCCUACGGGAGGCAGCAGUGGGGAAUAUUGGACAAUGGGCGAAAGCCUGAUCCAGCAAUGCCGCGUGAGUGAUGAAGGC
rnacentral:rRNA from 1 species